UGAACACACUCUGGUAUGAGGCCUCGUGGGGAGAUAAGGAGAGCUAACAAACAGGAACCAGAGCAGAAGGAGAGACACAUUCAGAGGACUGAGUGACCGAGCAUCUGAUGGAUGGACACUGAGCUCCAGCUCCAUGUUUACAUGACACACAGGUGUGGCAGAAACCCAGACAAGCACAGUGUGUUCAGGAGGUGUUAAUGAGCGGGGGCUCAGGCUGGUGUGUACGAGGCCUGCUCACUGGGUCUUCAUCUCUGCAGAUCUGGAAGCAAACAAUCACAGAGAAGCUGUCCUCGCUGUGGCUGCAGUGAUGCGACUCAGUGGUGCGGCUGUCAUGUCUGCAUGCGUCAUCGCUCUGCCUGACUGGACUCGCUUCCGAAGCAGGAUAUUUAUCUUCACAGAGGUGAUGAAUUCCUGGUCUGUGGUGCAGCAGUGCGCAGGUGUUUGUCAGACAGGUUCACAAACAGCAGAAGACGUCAACAUGUGGCGGCGUGUCGUGUCAAGCAGCUGUUUUCCUGCUGACUGCCACAACAUUUUCACUUGGACGCUGAAAAUCUCAUCAUGAAAUGUCCAGUAGACCUUUGUCACAGCACACACUCAGACUUUCUGUGUGGGUCAGUGACCCCUAACCUGAGGGUUGGGGCCUUGAAAUGGUCUACAAGAUAAAUCUGAGGGGUCAUGAGUUCUUCUAAACAAACAUUUCUUUAAAUGUAUUUAUUUAUUUGCAGACUUGCGGUGUCAGUUUGUCAGCUGGUCCACUGCUUGGGUCCAUACCUUAUCAAAGACAUUCAUGUUUCCCAGAGGAUGAAUUCUAAUAACUCUGAUGAUCCUCUGUCUAACCAGUUGACAGUUGUGGUUCACACAGAGCCUCUGGAUGUGAAUAGUAGAUGUGAAGCAUGAAAGUAGAAUUCAGGCCAUGUUUCUGUCUUUCACACAGAGCAACAACUCACUCUCUGCCUGUUUAUCUGAGUUUACACGCUCUCUUCAGGGAGGUGAACUUGUCUUGUCAGUUUCCAUUGUACCUCAGUGCAAACUGUUGGAGGCACAUGUGAUACUAAAAGUGAUGCUUUUAUCUCUCAAAAGCAGCUUGAAGGAUCCACUAAGAUGGAGCUCAGUGGUCUAUCAGGUUGGAUAACACACAACCUGCAGUGCACCUCCAGCAGCAGCAAUCAACCUGCUCCAUCAACAGCCUCCUGCAGGCUGUUCACAGAGGUUUCCAUUCAGCUGAGGAUGAGCUAACAUCAUGUUUCUGCUCUCAGGGGAAAACCUGAAACGCUUAUUUCUUUGAGCCUUCAGAAGUGCAAUAAUAAACUGCACGAUAUUACAUCAACAUGAAUUUAGUUUAUUCCUGGACUGGUUUAGAUAGAGAUACUACAAACUGGAAAUGCUCUCACAGAUUUUCUGCCAGGCUUUUCUUUAAGCAGCUUCUCAGGGUGAUUCUUCAUGAAGGCACAAUCAGUGUUAGAGCAGCCGUGGUAGUUUCUCUGGACACAUUCCCAUCCACGCUGUUUUUGUCUCUGCUCAUCUCAUCGGUAGAAAAAUGUAACGUCACAUCGUCCUGACGUAGACAGCUCACCUGUUUCUGUUACCUUGCUUUCCCUCCCUGUCUCAGACCCUGCUCGGACAGCCUCCAUCCAUCCUCUGACCGCUCAGGAGGUUGGAGGUUAGGGAUGACAACAUUUCCUGAUAUUUUUCAGUGGCAGAGUUUUGAAUGAAAUCUGACUUCAUGACUGAAGAGUGAGCUCAGCUCUGAAAGCCACAGGCCCACGAGUCAUUUAACAUGGAUUUCACAGCCAAAGACCUCCGUUGCAUCACUCAUCUUUCAUGGCUGCUGCAGUCCAAUUUUCUAUAGCCUCUCUGUCAAAACUGGAGAGAAAAAAAAGCUUCCAGCUUCAGAAAUGCAAACACUCCGGGGUCAUUAGGAGUGUCUGGAUGUUAUAUCAGGAUUGCGAUAUCCUGCAGAUCAGUCUUUGAAGUCUCAGACAAACUGUCUGAUCUGACAUCACUUUCUACCUGGUCCCUUCAAGGACACGAAACCUGAUUUCUUUUUGUCUUUGAGAAUAAAACCAGCUCUCAUUUUA